rnacentral:rRNA from 1 species
CCUACGGGAGGCAGCAGUGGGGAAUUUUGCGCAAUGGGGGAAACCCUGACGCAGCAACGCCGCGUGGAGGAUGAAGCCCUUUGGGGCGUAAACUCCUUUCGACCAAGACGAUAAUGACGGUACUGGUGGAAGAAGCACCGGCUAACUCUGUGCCAGCAGCCGCGGUAAUACAGAGGGUGCAAGCGUUGUUCGGAAUUAUUGGGCGUAAAGGGCGCGUAGGCGGUGCGGUAAGUCACCUGUGAAAUCUCCAGGCUUAACUUGGAGCCUGCAGGCGAAACUGCCUUUGAUACUGGAGACCUUGAGUCCGGGAGAGGUGAGUGGAAUUGCGAGUGUAGAGGUGAAAUUCGUAGAUAUUCGCAAGAACACCAGUGGCGAAGGCGGCUCACUGGCCCGGAACUGACGCUGAGACGCGAAAGCGUGGGGAGCAAACAGGAUUAGAUACCCUGGUAGUCCACGCCCUAAACGAUGUCAACUAGUUGUUGGGGAUUCAUUUUCUCAGUAACGUAGCUAACGCGUGAAGUUGACCGCCUGGGGAGUACGGUCGCAAGAUUAAAACUCAAAGGAAUUGACGG